rnacentral:rRNA from 1 species
UACAGAGGAGCCAAGCGUUGUCCGGAUUGACUGGGCGUAAAGCGCACGCAGGCGGGUGUGCGCGUGGGGUGUGAAAUCUGGCCGCUUAACGGCCAGGCGCCAUCCCAUACGGCACGCCUGGAGUGAUGCAGAGGUCGAUGGAAUUGCCGGUGUAGUGGUGAAAUGCGUAGAUAUCUGGAGGAACACCGGUGGCGAAGGCGGCAUCCUGGACCGAUAUUGACGCUGAUGCGCGAAAGCCAGGGGAGCAAACGGG